rnacentral:rRNA from 1 species
GAUGAACGCUGGCGGCGUGCCUAAUACAUGCAAGUCGAGCGAACAGACGAGGAGCUUGCUCCUCUGACGUUAGCGGCGGACGGGUGAGUAACACGUGGAUAACCUACCUAUAAGACUGGGAUAACUUCGGGAAACCGGAGCUAAUACCGGAUAACAUGUUGAACCGCAUGGUUCAACAGUGAAAGACGGUUUUGCUGUCACUUAUAGAUGGAUCCGCGUCGCAUUAGCUAGUUGGUAAGGUAACGGCUUACCAAGGCAACGAUGCGUAGCCGACCUGAGAGGGUGAACGGCCAACCUGGAACUGAGACACGGUCCAGGCUCCUACGGGAGGCAGGAGUAGGGAAUCUUCCGGAAUGGGCGAAAGCCUGACGGAGCAACGCCGCGUGAGUGAAGAAGGUCUUCGGAUCGUAAAACUCUGUUAUUAGGGAAGAACAAAUGUGUAAGUAACUAUGCACGUCUGGACGGUACCUAAUCAGAAAGCCACGGCUAACUACGU